rnacentral:rRNA from 1 species
GACGAACCGUGCGAACGUUGUUCGGAAUCACUGGGCUUAAAGGGCGCGUAGGCGGGUUACCAAGUCUGUGGUGAAAUCCUCCAGCUUAACUGGAGAACUGCCGUGGAUACUGGUGAUCUUGAGGGAGGUAGGGGUAUGCGGAACUGUGCGUGGAGCGGUGAAAUGCGUUGAUAUGCACAGGAACUCCGGUGGCGAAGGCGGCAUACUGGACCUCUUCUGACGCUGAGGCGCGAAAGCUAGGGUAGCGAACGGG